rnacentral:rRNA from 1 species
UACGUAGGUGGCAAGCGUUGUCCGGAUUUACUGGGUGUAAAGGGCGUGUAGGCGGAGAAGCAAGUCAGAAGUGAAAUCCAUGGGCUUAACCCAUGAACUGCUUUUGAAACUGUAUGUCUUGAGUGCCGGAGAGGUAAUCGGAAUUCCUUGUGUAGCGGUGAAAUGCGUAGAUAUAAGGAAGAACACCAGUGGCGAAGGCGGCUUACUGGACGGCAACUGACGUUGAGGCUCGAAAGCGUGGGGAGCAAACAGG